rnacentral:tRNA from 2 species
GCCGGUUUAGCUCAGUUGGUAGAGCGCCUGCCUUGUAAGCAGAAUGUCAGCGGUUCGAGUCCGUUAAUCGGCACCA